GGAGAGUUGGCUGAGCGGUUUAAAGCAACAGCUUGGAAAGUUGUCAGUAGGUUUAACACUUACUCAGCGGUUCGAAUCCGCUACUCUCCUCCA
rnacentral:tRNA from 1 species